GAGACAAGCAUAUGACUACUGGCAGGAUCAACCAGGUAGCAUUCCUUCGCGACGCCGACGCCCGCAUGAGACCCGGCAGGCCGUACGGCCGCGGGCUCAAGACGGGCACGGCAGUCGUUCGUGUCGUGAGACAAAUGCGUUGCUUGGGCAAACGGAGCUAAUAAAUAGACCCCGCACCCGCACAUAACAUUCUGCAUCCGAGAGCACGGGCAAUGCACCUCAUGGGCCGAGGCAGCGACGCAGCUGGGCGAAGCAUGCCGGGAACACGAGGCUUGCCUGAUGUCCACCCCAAAACCCGUGAGGGCAGGGGGCGGAAAGGGGCUAACGAAACCAUCGGAUUCCUUUCGAUAGGUAAGCAACACAGGAUACCGAA
rnacentral:misc_RNA from 1 species